AGAGUUUGAUCCUGGCUCAGGACGAACGCUGGCGGCGUGCUUAACACAUGCAAGUCGAACGGUAAGGCCCUUUCGGGGGUACACGAGUGGCGAACGGGUGAGUAACACGUGAGUAACCUGCCCUCAUCUCUGGGAUAACAGUCGGAAACGGUUGCUAAUACUGGAUAUGAGCUUGCAAGGCAUCUUGUGGGUUGGAAAGAUAUUUUUUGGUUGGGGAUGGACUCGCGGCCUAUCAGCUUGUUGGUGAGGUAGUGGCUCACCAAGGCUUCGACGGGUAGCCGGCCUGAGAGGGCGACCGGCCACAUUGGGACUGAGAUACGGCCCAAACUCCUACGGGAGGCAGCAGUGGGGAAUAUUGCACAAUGGACGGAAGUCUGAUGCAGCAACGCCGCGUGCGGGAUGACGGCCUUCGGGUUGUAAACCGCUUUCAAUUGUGACGAAGCUUUUUGUGACGGUAGCAGUAGAAGAAGCACCGGCUAACUACGUGCCAGCAGCCGCGGUGAUACGUAGGGUGCGAGCGUUGUCCGGAUUUAUUGGGCGUAAAGAGCUUGUAGGCGGUUUGUCGCGUCGGGAGUGAAAACUCAGGGCUUAACUCUGAGCUUGCUUUCGAUACGGGCUGACUUGAGGGAGGUAGGGGAGAAUGGAAUUCCUGGUGGAGCGGUGGAAUGCGCAGAUAUCAGGAGGAACACCGGUGGCGAAGGCGGUUCUCUGGACCUUUCCUGACGCUGAGAAGCGAAAGCGUGGGGAGCGAACAGGAUUAGAUACCCUGGUAGUCCACGCU
rnacentral:rRNA from 1 species